rnacentral:ribozyme from 21 species
UUCUUCCCCCUUUUUUUUUUUUUUUUUUUUUGUUCUUUUUUUGUUUUUUUC